CACAAAUUGUUUUAUUGCUAAACAAAUUAUUUUUUUAUUGCAAUCAUGGAUGUUUAAAACAAAUAACAUAUAAUUUCAGACUCAGCAGAAGAUGGAUCAAUGUGGAGUGAGAGGGAAGAUGAAGUAAAACUCAGUUUCAUAGUGUAGAAUUUUUUGAAUCCCAUCUUCAAUUUAACAUGCACAGCAGAUAGAUGAAGGUUAAGGAUUCACAUCACGUAUCUUGGUGGAUCAACGUGACAGAGGACAACAGAAUCGCAGCUAGUUGUAAAUCAAGGGGCCAAAGACAUGGAUGGACCACAAAGGCAACGAAGGACAUGGAGGAUCAACAUAUUUGUUUAAGAAUUUUAAUUAAAUCCUACCGUAUUUGCAAAGACCCAAAAACCAUUUGCAGCACCAUCGAUUUGCAUAUCAUCAAACACACCAAAAAUAAUGAAGCACCACACAUUGUUAUAACACUUUUCAUAUGAAAAUAUGAAAAAGACAAUUGUAGAAUCAAUUUGGAGUAAAGGUAUAAUUAUUCUCCUUACCAAUGGUUCUUCUCCAAUCUAUCAAAUCUUCCCUUUUAUGGUGAAGAAAAAACCUAACGAAGCCAAAUGGAUGAUUGAGGAAGAAAUUUUUGGUCGAGGUGAAAUCUGAUCGCUACUUCUUUCUCUCAUGAACCCUAACUAUUUGUGAGAAAAGGGGAAACGGUAGGAAGAGAGGAAAAAACGCAAUAAAAAGAAGAUGGAUAAUUAUUUAAUUUCACACAACAAAUGCCAACUUUCCUCUCUGCUUUCUCAUUUUCUCUCCAAAACAAGGAGAAAAUACCCAGGUGAAAAUAACAGCAAUUUUCCCCUUCUUUUUUAUUUUCUCUCUGUUAUCCAAACAGCAGAAAAUGUCUCAUCACGGUUAUUUUCCUCUGUUUAUUUUCCUUUCCUUCCCUUUUCCCCUUAUCCAAACAGAGUGUUAAGCCUACUCUCUAGCCCACCUACAGCUUUCAAGACCAGCGCCACACAAGUAUCGGUGGAGAAAGCGAAGCUCUGCAAUUUACCACCCGCCGGAAUUGGCUCACAACCUGUUGCAACUCACAUUCAAUUAUUGCAUAAGUAGAAAUUUUUGAGUAAUGCAAAAAAUAGUUUCGUGUUUUGUUUGGUUUGUAUUAUUAAAUUAAUUUCUUGAGAGCAGAGCACUUUAUUUUUUUGUGUGUGUUGGUGUGCAUAUGGUGUGUAUUGGUGUGGAUUUAGAUAUUGAUAGAAUGGAUAGUUGCAGUUAGUAUUUGAUCUCACUGGCUCUGCAUAUGGAUUAUUAUGCAAAAGUCCAGCUUGAGUUGACGUUAUUGAUAGGUAUUUGAUUAAGAGAGUUGUGUUGGGGAUCUCCCAUAUAUAUAUAUAUAUAGUGAUUGAUACAUGGGUGCGUGUGUGUUUCAAAUGAUCUUUUGUGCGAAUAUUGGUUGA
rnacentral:misc_RNA from 1 species